AAUAUUGCACAAUGGGCGCAAGCCUGAUGCAGCGACGCCGCGUGGGGGAUGACGGCCUUCGGGUUGUAAACCUCUUUCACCAUCGACGAAGGUCCGGGUCUUCUCGGAUUGACGGUAGGUGGAGAAGAAGCACCGGCCAACUACGUGCCAGCAGCCGCGGUAAUACGUAGGGUGCGAGCGUUGUCCGGAAUUACUGGGCGUAAAGAGCUCGUAGGUGGUUUGUCGCGUUGUUCGUGAAAUCUCACGGCUUAACUGUGAGCGUGCGGGCGAUACGGGCAGACUAGAGUACUGCAGGGGAGACUGGAAUUCCUGGUGUAGCGGUGGAAUGCGCAGAUAUCAGGAGGAACACCGGUGGCGAAGGCGGGUCUCUGGGCAGUAACUGACGCUGAGGAGCGAAAGCGUGGGGAGCGA
rnacentral:rRNA from 1 species